rnacentral:rRNA from 1 species
UACGGGGGGGGCAAGCGUUGUUCGGAAUUACUGGGCGUAAAGGGCUCGUAGGCGGCCAACUAAGUCAGACGUGAAAUCCCUCGGCUUAACCGGGGAACUGCAUCUGAUACUGGAUGGCUUGAGUUCGGGAGAGGGAUGCGGAAUUCCAGGUGUAGCGGUGAAAUGCGUAGAUAUCUGGAGGAACACCGGUGGCGAAGGCGGCAUCCUGGACCGGCACUGACGCUGAGGAGCGAAAGCGUGGGGAGCGAACAGG